GAAUGCUGACAUAAGUAACGAUAAAGCGGGUGAAAAGCCCGCUCGCCGGAAGACCAAGGGUUCCUGUCCAACGUUAAUCGGGGCAGGGUGAGUCGACCCCUAAGGCGAGGCCGAAAGGCGUAGUCGAUGGGAAACAGGUUAAUAUUCCUGUACUUGGUGUUACUGCGAAGGGGGGACGGAGAAGGCUAUGUUGGCCGGGCGACGGUUGUCCCGGUUUAAGCGUGUAGGCUGGUUUUCCAGGCAAAUCCGGAAAAUCAAGGCUGAGGCGUGAUGACGAGGCACUACGGUGCUGAAGCGACAAAUGCCCUGCUUCCAGGAAAAGCCUCUAAGCAUCAGGUAACAUCAAAUCGUACCCCAAACCGACACAGGUGGUCAGGUAGAGAAUACCAAGGCGCUUGAGAGAACUCGGGUGAAGGAACUAGGCAAAAUGGUGCCGUAACUUCGGGAGAAGGCACGCUGAUAUGUAGGUGAAGCGACUUGCUCGUGGAGCUGAAAUCAGUCGAAGAUACCAGCUGGCUGCAACUGUUUAUUAAAAACACAGCACUGUGCAAACACGAAAGUGGACGUAUACGGUGUGACGCCUGCCCGGUGCCGGAAGGUUAAUUGAUGGGGUUAGCGGUAACGCGAAGCUCUUGAUCGAAGCCCCGGUAAACGGCGGCCGUAACUAUAACGGUCCUAAGGUAGCGAAAUUCCUUGUCGGGUAAGUUCCGACCUGCACGAAUGGCGUAAUGAUGGCCAGGCUGUCUCCACCCGAGACUCAGUGAAAUUGAACUCGCUGUGAAGAUGCAGUGUACCCGCGGCAAGACGGAAAGACCCCGUGAACCUUUACUAUAGCUUGACACUGAACAUUGAGCCUUGAUGUGUAGGAUAGGUGGGAGGCUUUGAAGUGUGGACGCCAGUCUGCAUGGAGCCGACCUUGAAAUACCACCCUUUAAUGUUUGAUGUUCUAACGUGGGCCCCUUACCGGGGUUGCGGACAGUGUCUGGUGGGUAGUUUGACUGGGGCGGUCUCCUCCUAAAGAGUAACGGAGGAGCACGAAGGUUGGCUAAUCCUGGUCGGACAUCAGGAGGUUAGUGCAAUGGCAUAAGCCAGCUUGACUGCGAGCGUGACGGCGCGAGCAGGUGCGAAAGCAGGUCAUAGUGAUCCGGUGGUUCUGAAUGGAAGGGCCAUCGCUCAACGGAUAAAAGGUACUCCGGGGAUAACAGGCUGAUACCGCCCAAGAGUUCAUAUCGACGGCGGUGUUUGGCACCUCGAUGUCGGCUCAUCACAUCCUGGGGCUGAAGUAGGUCCCAAGGGUAUGGCUGUUCGCCAUUUAAAGUGGUACGCGAGCUGGGUUUAGAACGUCGUGAGACAGUUCGGUCCCUAUCUGCCGUGGGCGCUGGAGAACUGAGGGGGGCUGCUCCUAGUACGAGAGGACCGGAGUGGACGCAUCACUGGUGUUCGGGUUGUCAUGCCAAUGGCACUGCCCGGUAGCUAAAUGCGGAAGAGAUAAGUGCUGAAAGCAUCUAAGCACGAAACUUGCCCCGAGAUGAGUUCUCCCUGACUCCUUGAGAGUCCUGAAGGAACGUUGAAGACGACGACGUUGAUAGGCCGGGUGUGUAAGCGCAGCGAUGCGUUGAGCUAACCGGUACUAAUGAACCGUGAGGCUUAACCUUACAACGCCG
rnacentral:rRNA from 1 species